rnacentral:rRNA from 1 species
GAUGAACGCUAGCGGCAGGCCUAACACAUGCAAGUUCGAGGGGCAGCAUUUAACUAGUUUACUAGUUAAGAUGGCGACCGGCGCACGGGUGCGUAACGCGUAUGCAACCUACCAUUAACAGGGGGAUAAUUCGGAGAAAUCUGGUCUAAUACCCCAUAUCACUUAUCUAGGCAUCUAUUUAAGUUGAAAGCUCCGGCGGUUAAUGAUGGGCAUGCGUUGUAUUAGUUUGUUGGUGAGGUAACGGCUCACCAAGACUACGAUACAUAGGGGGACUGAGAGGUUUACCCCCCACACUGGUACUGAGACACGGACCAGACUCCUACGGGAGGCAGCAGUGAGGAAUAUUGGUCAAUGGACGCAAGUCUGAACCAGCCAUGCCGCGUGCAGGAUGACGGCCCUAUGGGUUGUAAACUGCUUUUGUAUAAGAGUAAUUGCAAGUACGUGUACUUGUUUGAAAGUAUUAUACGAAUAAGGAUCGGCUAACUCCGUGCCAGCAGCCGCGGUAAUAC